rnacentral:rRNA from 1 species
CCCACUCUUGACAUCCUUCGCAAUGCUAUAGAGAUAUAGCGGAGGUUAACGGAGUGACAGAUGGUGCAUGGUUGUCGUCAGCUCGUGUCGUGAGAUGUUUGGUCAAGUCCUGCAACGAGCGCAACCCUUAUCUUUAGUUACUAACGAGUCAUGUCGAGGACUCUAGAGAUACUGCCUGGGUAACUGGGAGGAAGGUGGGGAUGACGUCAAAUCAUCAUGCCUCUUACGAGUGGGGCAACACACGUGCUACAAUGG